AUUAGGGUUCGAUUUCGGAGAGGGAGCAUGAGAAACGGCUACCACAUCUAAGGAAGGCAGCAGGCGCGUAAAUUACCCAAUCCUGACUCAGGGAGGUAGUGACAAGAAAUAGCAAACCGGGAACCUCAUGGUUUCACGGUAUUGCAAUGAGAACAAUUUAAAACCCUUAGCGAGAAUCAAGUGGAGGACAAGUCUGGUGCCAGCACCCGCGGUAAUUCCAGCUCCACUAGCGUAUAUUAAAGUUGUUGCAGUUAAAAAGCUCGUAGUUGAACCUCUGUCUGGGGCUAGUUUUGGCUUUGGUCAGGCUAGUUCUAGGCAUCCGCCUACAAGACUUAGAGGGCAUUCAGUUGUUCACUAGGAGGAGUAGGCAUUUUACUUUGAAAAAAUUAGAGUGUUUAAGGCAGGCAAUCGCCCGCAUAUAUUAGCAUGGAAUAAUAGAAUAGGACACUUUUCCAUUUCGUUGGUUAUUGGAAUCGUGUAAUGAUUAAUAGGGACAGUUGUGGGCAUUUGUAUUUAAUUGUCAGAGGUGAAAUUCUUGGAUUUAUUAAAGACAAACUAACGCGAAAGCAUUUGCCAAGGAUGUUUUCAUUAAUCAAGAACGAAAGUUAGGGGAUCAAAGACGAUCAGAUACCGUCCUAGUCUUAACUAUAAACUAUUCCGACUCAAUGUUUGACUGGCUUAUAUAACCAGUUGAGCGUUGUAUGAGAAAUCAAAGUCUUUAGGUUCUGGGGGGAGUAUGGUUGCAAAGCUGAAACUUAAAGGAAUUGACGGAAGAGCACAACCAGGAGUGGAUUCUGCGGCUUAAUUUGACUCAACACGGGGAAACUUACCAGGUUAAAACAAUAGUGGGAUUGACAGUUUGAGAGCGCUUUCUUGAUUGGUUGGGUGGUGGUGCAUGGCCGUUCUUAGUUGGUGGAGUGAUUUGUCUGCUUAAUUGCGUUAACGAACGAGACCUUAACCUGCUUACUAGACUGGCGAUCAUCAAUCGUUAGCUCUUCUUAGAGGGACUUUGGUUGUUUUAACUCCAAGGAAGUUUGAGGCAAUAACAGGUCUGUGAUGCCCUUAGAUAUCCUGGGCCGCACGCGUCAUACAAUGACUAGUUCAGAAAGUUUUCUCCUGACCCGAAAGGGGAUGGGUAAUCUUGAUAAUACUAGUCGUGUUAGAGAUCGAUCUUUGCAAUUAUAGAUCUUGAACGAGGAAUUCCUAGUAAGUGCGGUUCAUCAGACCGUACUGAUUACGUCCCUGCUCUUUGUACACACCGCCCGUCGCUUCUACCGAGUGGGUGGUCCGGUGAGAUAAUUGAACUUCGCAGGUAACUGAGAGGAAAGAUUAUCAAACCUAUCCACCUCGAGGAAGAAGAAGUCGUAACAAGGUU
rnacentral:rRNA from 1 species